AUUGAACGCUGGCGGCAUGCUUUACACAUGCAAGUCGAACGGUAACAGGGUGCUUGCACCGCUGACGAGUGGCGAACGGGUGAGUAAUGCGUCGGAACGUGCCGAGUAGUGGGGGAUAACGCAGCGAAAGUUGUGCUAAUACCGCAUACGUACUGAGGUAGAAAGUGGGGGACCUUCGGGCCUCACGCUAUUCGAGCGGCCGACGUCUGAUUAGCUAGUAGGUGAGGUAAAGGCUCACCUAGGCGACGAUCAGUAGCGGGUCUGAGAGGAUGAUCCGCCACACUGGGACUGAGACACGGCCCAGACUCCUACGGGAGGCAGCAGUGGGGAAUUUUGGACAAUGGGCGAACGCCUGAUCCAGCCAUGCCGCGUGUCUGAAGAAGGCCUUCGGGUUGUAAAGGACUUUUGUCAGGGAGGAAAUCCCUAGUGCUAAUACCGCUGGGGGAUGACAGUACCUGAAGAAUAAGCACCGGCUAACUACGUGCCAGCAGCCGCGGUAACAC
rnacentral:rRNA from 1 species